rnacentral:rRNA from 1 species
CAGCAGCCGCGGGAACACAGAGGGUGCGAGCGUUAAUCGGAUUUACUGGGCGUAAAGCGUGCGUAGGCGGCUUCUUAAGUCGGAUGUGAAAUCCCUGAGCUUAACUUAGGAAUUGCAUUCGAUACUGGGAAGCUAGAGUAUGGGAGAGGAUGGUAGAAUUCCAGGUGUAGCGGUGAAAUGCGUAGAGAUCUGGAGGAAUACCGAUGGCGAAGGCAGCCAUCUGGCCUAAUACUGACGCUGAGGUACGAAAGCAUGGGGAGCAAACAGGAUUAGAUACCCGAGUAGUCCCUGUCUCUUAUAC